rnacentral:rRNA from 1 species
GAUAUGGCUCAGGAUGAACGCUAGCUACAGGCUUAACACAUGCAAGUCGAGGGGCAGCAUGGUCUUAGCUUGCUAAGGCUGAUGGCGACCGGCGCACGGGUGAGUAACACGUAUCCAACCUGCCGUCUACUCUUGGCCAGCCUUCUGAAAGGAAGAUUAAUCCAGGAUGGCAUCAUGAGUUCACAUGUCCGCAUGAUUAAAGGUAUUUUCCGGUAGACGAUGGGG